CUAGGACUUGGUUGCAAUAUCUUAAGGUGAGAUACUCUGUUACUAACAAUGUUGUAAACUGCAAACAGAGUUCUUACCACUAUGUACAAUUCUUGUAUAUUGUCAGGUGAGUUUUGAUGUUAUUGGAAAUUUAGAGGUGUAAACCCAUUAUUGGAAGCAAAUGCAAUGCCAGGCAUCAAUACCCUUUUUUGCAUUCAACCUCUAAUGGAAGGUCAGUAUGAACAUUGCCCAGCUCUUCUUACAUAUGCUCUCUGAUUUGUAAAUUAAGUUGUAAUAUGCUAUUUUUGAACAUAUAUGCAGCAAAGAAGACACAAUGCUAAUGUCAGGUUAACUGCAACAUCAACAAUCUGUAUACCAGGAUCUCGUAUGUGCUUACUAUUCAGUAUUCACAAUUCAAAACACUGGAGCUUCACUACUGAAUAUAUGUCAGUAUGUGAUGAUGCGUGCGAUCUUGUUGAGCUUAGGGAUGCAAAGUGGCGUCCCACGUCAGCCCGCUUCCUUAAGUUGAUAAAAAAAGAAUAAGGCUGGCCCCUAUUUGCUGUAAUCAGUACAUUUUAUACUGGCAGCUUAGUUUAGUGGGCCUUAGCACGAUGCCACUUUGCAUCCCUAGUUGAGCUUGUAAUGUAAGUAACUUAUUAGUCAACUGCGAAUUCUGCUAGUCAUAUUGAUCCUUGAUUGAUCUCUUUUGAGGUAAUUUAUCCAUGACUGGGCUACCACUAACUAGAUAUAAUCAUAUUUCCCAGGUAGCCAAAAUACAAGAUGGGUGGAACAGUCAACAGAAGAACUGUAGAGCAACUAUUUUUCGAGUACUUGGAUCUCAUGAAGUUAUCUGACUUCAGUUUACAUUAUACCAGUACCAAUUCUUACAUGGAAAACUAGUUGGAACUUAUGUGCUCUAUGUAUAUAGUGUUAUUAUUUGCAUAUCACUUCUCCUCUCCAAACGGUACAUUUGAAUGCGCUUUAUUUGUCACACCAAAAAAUGAAUUGAAUUAUAGUAGUGUAGUGCAUGCUUUCUAACAUUAGUUGGUGUUACAUCUGAACUGUUUGGGAGUUUUGCAAUCCUAGAGCGUGCUGCAAUGACGCCCCAUGCUGUUAGUCCUCUUCGACUUCAUGAAAAGGAAGUGGAACAACCUUCACAGCUCUGAACUUCCCUGCAUUGUUUAGGUGUUCGUUCUCCAGCCUGA
rnacentral:lncRNA from 1 species